rnacentral:misc_RNA from 1 species
AAAUGCGAUAAGUAAUGUGCAUUGCCGAAUUCAGUGAAUCAUCGAAUCUUUGAACGCACAUUGCGCCCGCCAGUAUUCUGGCGGGCAUGCCUGUUCGAGCGUCAUUACAACCCUCAGGCCCCCGGGCCUGGCGUUGGGGAUCGGCGGAAGCCCCCUGCGGGCACAACGCCGUCCCCCAAAUACAGUGGCGGUCCCGCCGCAGCUUCCAUUGCGUAGUAGCUAACACCUCGCAACUGGAGAGCGGCGCGGCCACGCCGUAAAACACCCAACUUCUGAAUGUUGACCUCGAAUCAGGUAGGAAUACCCGCUGAACUUAAGC